rnacentral:rRNA from 1 species
GUCUAUGGCUAUGCUACCCUGAAUAAGCCCAAUCCUGUCUGAUCUCGGAAGCUAAGCAGGGUCAGGCCUGGUUAGUACUUGGAUGGGAGACCAUCUAGGAAGACCAGGUGCUGUAGGUG